CAGGGCACCCCUCGGGGGCGGGCAUGACCCCUGAACUCCUGUUCAGGGCACAUGGCGAGGCUGGGGUCACUGUUCCCAUCUUACAGUUAAGGAAACAGGGGUUCAGAGAGGUCAGGUCACUUGUUCAAGAACACAAAGUUGAGAAGCUGCAGAUUCAAAUCCGACCUCAAAACCCACUCCCGUUUUCUCCGUACCAGGCCACAACCACCGGGGCCCUGCCCCUCGGAGGGGCCUGGGGGCCAGUAGCCUGGGCAUCAGCUGCCCGUGGUCACCGACGCAGAGCCUGGGCCCUAGUGAAACCAACACCUGCCUCUCAGCAAGAUGGUCGUGAACACUCGCCGUGGGAAAAGAGGCCCUGGUGUGGACAGAAAGACGGACAGCGACGAAGAACGGGCGGGACAAGUUCUCUGUGCUUGGUGGUGACGAGGUUUGCCGUGACGAGAGCUUACGUGGGGGAAGCUUGGGCAUUCUGUCAGGAGGCUCAUCAUGCUGGUUUGUCCUAUCGCUGCUGAUAUAAAUCCGAACACUUGGGUGGGAUGUGGUCUGCCAGGUGCCUCUGCGGUCAAGUUACUGUUUCUCUUUGAACAUAGGAGACACCUUGAGACUGGAGCGGUAUCCCUGCAAGGAAACAGGGCUCAAGUGGUGGAGAAACCCCACCCCCCCCAACCCCCGCCAGAGGAGCAGAGAACCUGGAUUCUGUCCUGUGCUCACUGCUCAGGGGCAAAGGGACCUGCUCCCACCAGUAAAGUAGAAAUGGGAAUGAUUGGGGCGCCUGGGUGGCUCAGUCGGUUGAGUGCCGACUUCGGCUCAGGUCACGAUCUCGCGGUCCGUGAGUUCGAGCCCCGCAUCGGGCCCCUGUGCUGACGGCUCAGAGCCCGGAGCCUGUUUUGGAUUCUGUGUCUCCCUCUCUCUGACCCUCCCCCAUUCAUGCUCUGUCUCUCUCUGUCUCAAAAAUGAAUAAAAACGUUAAAAAAAAAAUUAAAAAAAAAAAAAAAGAAAUGGGAAUGAUUACGGUAGGGAUGGAAUCUGAUAUACAGAAAGGUCCCUGCACACGAAGGCAAUGUGUCUCCCGAGGCCCUGGAAAGGCAGGAAAAGAGCAAGGGAACUUCCUCACGGCAAGGGCGGAAGGAUGCCUUUGAGAAAAGUUGUGCCAAGUUGUCCUGGAGAGGGGGAGCCCUGAACCCUUGGUUAGGAUUCCAAUUCUUGCAAAGGCUCACGGGCACCACAGCUCAUCAGCCUAGGAAGGAUGUCAGCUCCUCUGCUGACAUUGGAGACCGUGUUGCCUUGAUUUCCUCAUCUGUGUAAUGGGGCCAAUAACUACCUAACUCGUAGACUGGCCGUGAAGGUGAAAUGAAAAGACCCACGUGCAGCGUUGAGAGCAAAGCCUGCAUCACUUGAACACAGUGGCAAUAAAAGCCACCACUGUUCUUACUGCGGAGGAAAGAGGGUCAGAUCAGAGUGACCAGACUUGGGAUUUUGGCUUCCCACUUGGCCUCUUUCUAAACCUCAGUUUGCUCAUCUCUUCUUACCAUUCUAUUUUCUUCUUACCGUUUUACAUUUCAUUUUUUAAAACGGGGCUUCACUUACUUAAUCUGUAAAAUGGAAUUAAGAAUAAGAUCCACCUAGGGGCGCCUGGGUGGCCCAGUCGGCUAAGCGUCCGACUCUCGGUUUCGGCUCAGGUCAUGGUCUCACGGUUUGUGAGAUCGAGCCCCGCGUUGGGUUCUGCACUGACCACUCAGAGCCUGGAGCCGGCUUGGGAUUCUUUCUCCUUCUCUCUCUGCCCCUUCCCUGCUUGUGCUCUCUUUCUCUCUCUCUCAAAAUAAAGAAAUAAACUUAAAAAAAAAAGAAAAAGAUAAAGAUCAACCUCGCUGGGGUGCCGUGAGCCAGACAGGCUCACUGAGUUCUCCGUCCUGUCUCUCCUGCUCAUGAAAGCCAGGGACAGAAGGAGGGUGCCAGGGGAGGAUGGGGCCUCUCCAGGCUGGCGGGACGAUACAUGUGAAGUGCCGAGCAGGGUGCCUGACACGUAGUGGGUACCCCAUAAAUGUUAGCUAGUGCUAUCGGUAAUGGGUUGGGUGGUGACCCCUCAAAAAAUAGGUCUGCGACGAAAGCCCUGGAAACAGGGAACACAGCCACAGCAGGUAAUAACAAUACCGACUUUGACGGUCUCUGGAGCACAGGGCUUGACUUCUCUUUCACAGAGAUCUUGUGGUUCACCGCUUACGGUGUGGCCUUCAGUUGCUUCCAGAAUGAGGUUCUCAGCCACUAUGUGAGUGGGAAAGGCAAAUGCAAUCCGCCUGGAGUCAGGAAGAGACUGAGAUCAAAGCACACGGCACUGAAAAUAACUAAAUGGCAGCUGGUUUGUGCAUCCCUGCCCCGUGGGGGCCGUGAG